GACGAACGCUGGCGGCGUGCCUAAUACAUGCAAGUCGAACGCUUCUUUCCUCCCGAGUGCUUGCACUCAAUUGGAAAGAGGAGUGGCGGACGGGUGAGUAACACGUGGGUAACCUACCCAUCAGAGGGGGAUAACACUUGGAAACGGGUGCUAAUACCCCAUAACAUUUUUUGCCGCAUGGCAUAAAGGUGAAAGGCGCUUUGGGGGUUCGCUGUUGGAUGGCCCCGCGGUGCAUUAGCUAGUUGGUGAGGUAACGGCUCACCAAGGCCACGAUGCAUAGCCGACCUGAGAGGGUGAUCGGCCACACUGGGACUGAGACACGGCCCAGACUCCUACGGGAGGCAGCAGUAGGGAAUCUUCGGCAAUGGACGAAAGUCUGACCGAGCAACGCCGCGUGAGUGAAGAAGGUUUUCGGAUCGUAAAACUCUGUUGUUAGAGAAGAACAAGGACGUUAGUAACUGAACGUCCCCUGACGGUAUCUAACCAGAAAGCCACGGCUAACUACGUG
rnacentral:rRNA from 1 species